rnacentral:lncRNA from 1 species
UAAAUUAGAGACUAAGUUAUAAAAUUGGACUAAAUAAAUUUGAAUAAAUAAAGUUUGGGGUCUAAACGAAAGAAAACAGAAAUUUAAGGGCCUAAUACGAAAAACAGAAGAUUAGGGGCCUAAUCUGAAGUUACAGAAAAUUAAGGGCUUAAUACGAAAAAAAAAUAAAAUUAGGGAUCUAAUAUGAAAUUUUCCAGGGACCUAACUGUUAUUUUCCAUCCCUAACCUAAAAAACAAAACGAUAAGGGACGGAAAAUAACAGGUUCCAGCCCCUUUCCGCCGCCAACAAUGGAGGUUUUUUUUUUUUUUUUUAACAAGAUCCGGCCACCAAAAAAACAACAAAAUACCAAACGAACAAUUAAUCGUCAAUGGCGUUAGUUCAAAACCUCUUACCUGUUCUUGGGAAUCCG